CUCUGAGGAUGGUUCUGAAAUAGAAUUGAAACACUGCGCGUCCUCAAAGACAAGCGUUAAGUCGUCACGAAAAUAUUUCGUGCACUUAAAUUGGAUAAGACUCGCUACCAAUCCCCGUUGACUCGAUAGCUCAAUGGGUAGAGCGGCGGUCUAGAUACCCGAAGAUGCGAGUUCAAAUCCCGCUCGAGCCAACGAAUUUUUCGUUGCUCGAUUGCAGUGUCAGAUUAAUAUGAAACUAGUUUUCCUAUCUCUGAGGAUGGUUCUGAAAUAGAAU
rnacentral:lncRNA from 1 species